rnacentral:rRNA from 1 species
ACUCCUGCGGGAGGCAGCAGUGGGGAAUUUUGGACAAUGGGCGAAAGCCUGAUCCAGCAAUGCCGCGUGCAGGAUGAAGGCCUUCGGGUUGUAAACUGCUUUUGUACGGAACGAAAAAGCUCCUUCUAAUACAGGGGGCCCAUGACGGUACCGUAAGAAUAAGCACCGGCUAACUACGUGCCAGCAGCCGCGGUAAUACGUAGGGUGCGAGCGUUAAUCGGAAUUACUGGGCGUAAAGCGUGCGCAGGCGGUUAUGUAAGACAGAUGUGAAAUCCCCGGGCUCAACCUGGGAACUGCAUUUGUGACUGCAUGGCUAGAGUACGGUAGAGGGGGAUGGAAUUCCGCGUGUAGCAGUGAAAUGCGUAUAUAUGCGGAGGAACACCGAUGGCGAAGGCAAUCCCCUGGACCUGUACUGACGCUCAUGCACGAAAGCGUGGGGAGCAAACAGGAUUAGAUACCCCAGUAGUCCC